ACUUCAUCAUUUUGCACAAAUUUCUAAGAUGUCGGCUCCAGACUGAUAAAAUUAUUCUUCGCCAAAAAUUUGAACCUUGACUAAUGUCAGCAAGGGAACAACACCCCCCCCAAAACUAGUUUUUAAUUGCUCAGUCACAGCUAUAAUCUUUCCCACCCCACCCCCACAUCUCUUUCUAACACACACACACACUUCUUACAUCCUAAGGAACCUGCAAUUCUAAGCCCUCUAUCUCUGCCUUACUUUGACACAUAUCCCUUAAGCUAAGCGAGAACUUGAGUACUUUUCGCCUUUCACUGUGUCUCGUUUCUCUCAGUCACUUUGCCUUUAUCCCUGAUGCAUUUGAGCCUGGCCCACCAGUUCCAGUUCUUCAACCACUACGUAUCAAAAUCUUUCAUGCUUUAAUACCCUACAACUACAUUUUCUAUGUUGAGCAUGCCUAGAGGUCUAUGUCUAAAGCCCUGAUCAUAUGGAGGUGACAUUGGAAGAUGGUGUGACCCUUCUGAAGGCGGGGCUGAGUUAGAAGGAUGGUCUCUGGUUCACUGAGAUGUGCCUUCAAGGGAGCUCUGGAAGCCUGGCUUGUCUGCUUCCUAUCAUUUGCACUCCCCAACUUGGAAUGAAGGUAGAUUUGUUCUGCCUUUCAUGUCUCACCAUUUCCAUUUGUCUGACCAUCAGACACUGGUCAUGGAUUCAUCAUGGGUUGGAACCUAGAAAACACUGACCUAAAAGAAAUCUUUUCUCCUUAUAAGUUUUAUUAUUUGGGUUUUAUGUUACAGUGACAGAAAUGUAACUAAAAUACCCAUUUACAAUACACAUUGUAGGGGGAAAACUACAGAGAUCCUGUCAAAUUCUUUAUUCCUUCAUUGAAGUUAUUACAAAGGCUAUCCCUGAACAACACAGUUAUCAAAAUUUUCAAAAGGGAGUGUACAAUCUGAACUGAAAUGAUGUGUUCUGCCUUCCCAGUCCAAGGAAUAGAGACGUUAAAUCAGUGUACAUCCAAACCCUUUGACGCCUUGUUUAUUUUCAUAGAUAUUAUAUUCAAAUCUCCAUAAUGUUCUCAAUCUUCCUGUUCAUGUAGCUCAUGUGGAGAAAAUCCAUUCUCAUCUAAUGGAUAUCACAGUAAAGUUAAAUCACUAACCAAGUGUACUUUAAGUAUAAAGGUUUUUUUUUUUCAAUCUGUCCUGGAUUUGACAAAUAAAUACAGAUUUGUUUCAGUCUGAAAAUAUCCUUGCCAUUGACAUUUCUGAAAUAUAUUGGGUCCAUUUGACUGGAAUCUUUGAAAAGUAUUAUUUAAGAAGAUGCCAACCACACACAAGACAACUGAAAUUUUUUGACAGGGUUUCUCUGUUUAGUCCUAGCUGUUCUGAAAAUUGCUUUAUAGACCAAGGCAGACUCGAACUUAGAGAUCCUUCUGCCUCUGGCUCCUGAGUGGUACUCUAAUUAAAGGUAUGCAUCACCAUGCCCAGUCUGACAAAAAAAAUUAUAGAUAAAACCAGAAGAUCAGAGAUCUCUGGAUUAAAUUGCUGCUUCUAGAUUCAUUUUCUCUAUAUCUCUUGUUAAGAGGGCCCCUAUUAUGGAGUGAGAAAUGUUGUGAACGGGAGGAUGUUGAGUCAGAAGAGCCAAUAAAAGAAAAGAGCUAUGGAGAAGGAUGAUGAGAAAUGUUGCCAGUGACUGUGUCAGAGGAGCAGGUGGCAUGAGGUUGGUGUCAGCCCAGCAGGAGGAAUAACCCUGGUGGUCAGUGUGCCGUGGCGUGCAUAUGAAGGUCAGAAGACACUUCACAGAGUCUCUUGUCUCCUUCUACUUUUCAAUGAGAUCUGAGGAUCUAUCCAGGUUAUCAGGCCCGAAUAGAAGUAUCUUUGCUUGCUGAACCACUUCACCAGACCUCUCUCCUCGAUUCAGGCAUCUAGAUGGUGUCUCUCAACUCUUUGAAGAUGAGUAUUUUCCUGCAAAGACAAGAAUAGAACCCUGCCCCAACUCUUAUGAGGUUUCCUUACCACCAGUCACCUCUGUGGAUGAGCUGUCAAUUCUUUUUCUCAAGAGGUUUCUCUUUUUAAAACCAAAUCUUUAUUAAUUUUGAUGGUAUACAGAGUUUUUCUUCUCCCAUAGAAACAAGAGUAAAAACCCCUUCCCUAACUUAGCACAUCUCCUGGUUUCCAUUGUGAGGUCAACACAUCCUUGAAAUACACCAGCUGAUUUAAUUCAGAAGUUUUUUCCAUUAUCCAAUGUCUCUCUGCUGCCAUUGUUCCUUUCUCAUUAGCAUUAAGGAAGUUCAAGCUUAAUAAAGCAUUAUUCAAUCAUUUCUGGGGGUAUUUUUCAUCCAUUUCUGUUUAACAUAUCUUUUAUAGUUUGAUUUUACCUUUCUAUAACUGCAUGACCUGUAGGAUUGUUUGGUAUACCUGUAAUAUGUUUUAUGUUAUAAUAAGCAAAA